rnacentral:rRNA from 1 species
GUGGGGAAUUUUGGACAAUGGGCGAAAGCCUGAUCCAGCAAUGCCGCGUGCAGGAUGAAGGCCCUCGGGUUGUAAACUGCUUUUGUACGGAACGAAAAGCCUGGGGCUAAUAUCCCGGGUCAUGACGGUACCGUAAGAAUAAGCACCGGCUAACUACGUGCCAGCAGCCGCGGUAAUACGUAGGGUGCAAGCGUUAAUCGGAAUUACUGGGCGUAAAGCGUGCGCAGGCGGUUUUGUAAGACAGUGGUGAAAUCCCCGGGCUCAACCUGGGAACUGCCAUUGUGACUGCAAGGCUAGAGUGCGGCAGAGGGGGAUGGAAUUCCGCGUGUAGCAGUGAAAUGCGUAGAUAUGCGGAGGAACACCGAUGGCGAAGGCAAUCCCCUGGGCCUGCACUGACGCUCAUGCACGAAAGCGUGGGGAGCAAACAGGAUUAGAAACCCUAGUAGUCC